rnacentral:rRNA from 1 species
CGCUGGCGGCGCGCAUAACACAUGCAAGUCGAGCGAGGGCUCUUCUCCCGCAAGGGAGGGGAGUUCCUAGCGGCGAACGGGUGAGUAACACGUGGGCAACCUUUCCUAUCGCGGGGGAUAACAGCGGGAAACCGCUGCUAAUACCGCAUGUCGUCACCGGUCGCAUGGCCGGUGAAGAAAGCAGCAAUGCACGAUGGGGUGGGCCCGCGGCCUAUCAGCUAGUCGGUGGGGUAACGGCCUACCGAGGCGAUGACGGGUAGCUGGUCUGAGAGGACGACCAGCCACACGGGGACUGAGACACGGCCCCGACUCCUACGGGAGGCAGCAGUGAGGAAUCUUCCGCAAUGGGCGAAAGCCUGACGGAGCGACGCCGCGUGUGGGAUGAAGUCCUUCGGGAUGUAAACCACUGUUGGAGGGGAAGACUUCGACGGUACCCUCCGAGAGAGCCCCGGCUAACUACGUGCCAGCAGCCGCGGUAAUACGUAGGGGGCUAGCGUUAUCCAGAAUUACUGGGCG